AGAGUUUGAUCAUGGCUCAGAUUGAACGCUGGCGGCAGCCCCUUAUACAUGCAAGUCGAACGAGAAAGUUCCUUCGGGAGCGAGUAAAGUGGCGGACGGGUGAGUAACGCGUAGGAAUCUACCUUUCAGUGGGGGAUAGCUCGGGGAAACUCGAAUUAAUACCGCAUACACCCUUCGGGGGAAAGGGGGCCUCUCCUUGGAAGCUCUCGCUGUUAGAUGAGCCUGCGUGAGAUUAGCUUGUUGGUAAGGUAAUGGCUUACCAAGGCUACGAUCUCUAGCUGGUCUGAGAGGACGAUCAGCCACACUGGGACUGAGACACGGCCCAGACUCCUACGGGAGGCAGCAGUAGGGAAUAUUGGACAAUGGGGGCAACCCUGAUCCAGGCAUGCCGCGUGUGUGAAGAAGGCCUUAGGGUUGUAAAGCACUUUAAGUGAGGAAGAAAAGAUUUAAAUUAAUACUUUAAGUCCCUGACAUUACUCACAGAAUAAGGACCGGCUAACUCCGUGCCAGCAGCCGCGGUAAUACGGAGGGUCCAAGCGUUAAUCGGAAUUACUGGGCGUAAAGCGCGCGUAGAUGGUUUAUUCAGUUGGGUGUGAAAUCCCUGGGCUCAACCUAGGAACUGCAUUCAAAACUUAUAAACUAGAGUACGAAAGAGGAGAGUAGAAUUCAUGGUGUAGCGGUGAAAUGCGUAGAGAUCAUGAGGAAUACCAGUGGCGAAGGCGACUCUCUGGUUCGAGACUGACAUUGAGGUGCGAAAGCGUGGGUAGCAAACAGGAUUAGAUACCCUGGUAGUCCACGCCGUAAACGAUGAGAACUAGCCGUUGGAUCUUUA
rnacentral:rRNA from 1 species